GAGCGGCCGAUGCCCGAUUAGCUAGUUGGCGGGGUAAUGGCCCACCAAGGCGACGAUCGGUAGCUGGUCUGAGAGGACGACCAGCCACACUGGGACUGAGACACGGCCCAGACUCCUACGGGAGGCAGCAGUGGGGAAUUUUGGACAAUGGGGGCAACCCUGAUCCAGCCAUGCCGCGUGUGUGAAGAAGGCCUUCGGGUUGUAAAGCACUUUCGGACGGAACGAAAUCGCGCGGGCGAAUAUCCCGCGUGGAUGACGGUACCGUAAGAAGAAGCACCGGCUAACUACGUGCCAGCAGCCGCGGUAAUACGUAGGGUGCGAGCGUUAAUCGGAAUUACUGGGCGUAAAGCGUGCGUAGGUGGUUCGUUGUGUCUGUGGUGAAAGCCCCGGGCUUAACCUGGGAAUGGCCAUGGAAACUGGCGAGCUGGAGUCUGGCAGAGGGGGGUGGAAUUCCGCGUGUAGCAGUGAAAUGCGUAGAGAUGCGGAGG
rnacentral:rRNA from 1 species